CUCUGCAUCUGAAAGUGCUCAUGGGGUGCCUGUGCUCUGGUCGUUGAUAGUGCAGGUAGAGGAGUCGCUGAGAGGAGUUUUCUCCGUGUUGGGAGGGUCCACCUCAUCCUUCAAACCCUGGAGCUUUCACACA
rnacentral:snoRNA from 1 species